GAUGAACGCUGGCGGCGUGCCUAAUACAUGCAAGUCGAGCGAACGGACGAGAAGCUUGCUUCUCUGAUGUUAGCGGCGGACGGGUGAGUAACACGUGGAUAACCUACCUACAAGACUGGGAUAACUUCGGGAAACCGGAGCUAAUACCGGAUAAUAUUUUGAACCGCAUGGUUCAAAAGUGAAAGACGGUCUUGCUGUCACUUAUAGAUGGAUCCGCGCUGCAUUAGCUAGUUGGUAAGGUAACGGCUUACCAAGGCAACGAUGCAUAGCCGACCUGAGAGGGUGAUCGGCCACACUGGAACUGAGACACGGUCCAGACUCCUACGGGAGGCAGCAGUAGGGAAUCUUCCGCAAUGGGCGAAAGCCUGACGGAGCAACGCCGCGUGAGUGAUGAAGGUCUUCGGAUCGUAAAACUCUGUUAUUAGGGAAGAACAUAUGUGUAAGUAACUGUGCACAUCUUGACGGUACCUAAUCAGAAAGCCACGGCUAACUACGUGCCAGCAGCCGCGGUAAUACGUAGGUGGCAAGCGUUAUCCGGAAUUAUUGGGCGUAAAGCGCGCGUAGGCGGUUUUUUAAGUCUGAUGUGAAAGCCCACGGCUCAACCGUGGAGGGUCAUUGGAAACUGGAAAACUUGAGUGCAGAAGAGGAAAGUGGAAUUCCAUGUGUAGCGGUGAAAUGCGCAGAGAUAUGGAGGAACACCAGUGGCGAAGGCGACUUUCUGGUCUGUAACUGACGCUGAUGUGCGAAAGCGUGGGGAUCAAACAGGAUUAGAUACCCUGGUAGUCCACGCCGUAAACGAUGAGUGCUAAGUGUUAGGGGGUUUCCGCCCCUUAGUGCUGCAGCUAACGCAUUAAGCACUCCGCCUGGGGAGUACGACCGCAAGGUUGAAACUCAAAGGAAUUGACGGGGACCCGCACAAGCGGUGGAGCAUGUGGUUUAAUUCGAAGCAACGCGAAGAACCUUACCAAAUCUUGACAUCCUUUGACAACUCUAGAGAUAGAGCUUUCCCCUUCGGGGGACAAAGUGACAGGUGGUGCAUGGUUGUCGUCAGCUCGUGUCGUGAGAUGUUGGGUUGAGUCCCGCAACGAGCGCAACCCUUAAGCUUAGUUGCCAUCAUUAAGUUGGGCACUCUAAGUUGACUGCCGGUGACAAACCGGAGGAAGGUGGGGAUGACGUCAAAUCAUCAUGCCCCUUAUGAUUUGGGCUACACACGUGCUACAAUGGACGAUACAAAGGGCAGCGAAACCGCGAGGUCAAGCAAAUCCCAUAAAGUUGUUCUCAGUUCGGAUUGUAGUCUGCAACUCGACUACAUGAAGCUGGAAUCGCUAGUAAUCGUAGAUCAGCAUGCUACGGUGAAUACGUUCCCGGGUCU
rnacentral:rRNA from 1 species